rnacentral:SRP_RNA from 16 species
AGCAGCGGCACCUUGCACAUCAGCAGUUCGCAGGGCCUCGGGGGCCGCUGGAGGCUGCGGCACCACUGGCAGAGGACGCCGAGUGGGAUGACGGCUUGCCC